rfam:Cephalotus follicularis DNA, scaffold: scaffold264, isolate: St1.
AGGGAUAUAACUCAGAGAUAGAGUAUGACCUUGACGUGGUGGAAGUCAUCAGUUCGAGUCUGAUUAUCCCUA